rnacentral:snRNA from 1 species
ACCCCUGGCAGAAUUGUAGCCAAUGAGUUUUAUCCAAAGCACAAGUAUUACUAAUUGAAAACUUCUCCCAAUACCUCACCAUGAUUACUUGAAAUAUAGUAGGCAUUGGAAAUCUUUGGCAGUCUCUAUGGAGA